rnacentral:pre_miRNA from 1 species
AAUUUUCCCCACUACUAUUGCAUUGGGAAAUACACUGGUGAUUUUUCUCUUGGCCUUAAUUUGUUGUGAAAAUUCGCCAGUGUAUUUCCCAAUGCAAUAGUAGUGGGGAAAAUU